AUUGAACGCUGGCGGCAGGCCUAACACAUGCAAGUCGAGCGGAGCGGCGGACGGGUGAGUAAUGCCUAGGAAUCUGCCUGGUAGUGGGUGAUAACGUCCGGAAACGGGCGCUAAUCCCGCAUACUAUCCGCUGAGCCUAGGUCGGAUUAGCUAGGUGGUGGGGUAAAGGCCUACCAAGGCGACGAUCCUGAACUGGGCUGAGAGGAUGAUCAGUCAACCUGGAAAGUAGACACGGUCCAGCCUCCGUCGGGAGGCAGUCGUGGGGAAUUUUGGACCAUGGGCGAAAGCCUGUUCCAGCCAUGCCGCGUUGGUGAAGAAUGUCUUCGGGUUGUAAAUCACUUUAAGUUGGGAGGCGUUACCAGCAGAAUAAGCACCGGCUAACUUCGUGCCAGCAGCCGCGGUAAUUC
rnacentral:rRNA from 1 species